rnacentral:lncRNA from 1 species
GGCCUUGAGUAUAGUGGGCAUGAGGUGAGAAAAUGGGUAGGUGGUGAUAGAGAGAGGAAAGGUGGCGGGAACAAAAGAUGGGUAAGUGGGGUAUUUGGGCAUUUGCAUGGAGUGAAGGUGAGGGUUAUGAGUGGUGAGAUGAGUGGUAGAAGAUAGAGAGAGAAACAGUUUUGUGGGUAUUGAAAUAUGGGUAUGAAGACAAAGGUUAGGAAUGGCGGGACGAGAAGUAGAAGUUAGUGAGAGAAAAUGGGUAUGAUGGAU